rnacentral:lncRNA from 1 species
AUCCCCUGGCCCUGGCUGACUCGCCACCCCCGACACUGCAGCGCCUGCCGACCUCGGGGCCCCGCCCUCUGCCUUCGCUCGCGCCGCUCUCCUUCAGUCUCCCCAGGGCCUGUUUCAUGGAUAGGGUCCCCUUGCCCGCGUGAAAGUCUCAUUCCUCCUCAGCUCAGAAACACUCCAAGGUGCGGGGACUCGUGGAAGGAUUUGAUUCGCGCUUGAGAAAGAUCGCUCCGCUCCUGUAAGGAAGAGAGCGUGUAGGGGCUGCAACCAGAGACACAGUCAGAAGCUCCGAGGCUACCGCGAUGGUCCAGGUGCCACAGGACACAGCCUAACAGAGGCCCAGGUUGGAGCCAUGGACCAUGGAGUCAUGAGAAUGGAAGGGAAGCUGACGCCAUGUGGGAUGGGGUAGAACUGUCCGCAAAUUCGUCCCGCCUCUGGAGUCUUCAGACCAGUCAAGGCCGAAAUUCAACCAAGCCUCUCCUCUCUCUAGCUGUUAUUUGUUUGCAGCACGCGGUCUGGUGGCACCCUGCAGGAUUUACCAGCUUUUUGCCAACAUUCUGGCCUAUGCAAUCAAUACGUCCCUUCAGCGUUGCACUUGGAUGGAUUGGACCUAUAGUUGUUAUAUAUGGAUAUUGUCUAAUUUAUUUAUUACAGUAUUAACUGACUCCUAUGUUCUGGCCUUCAGAAUUUCUCCUUUGGAUCAAUUACUAGCCUGUCUUACAUUUUCUGCUUCAUUCUUUUAAAAUGUUUAGAGAUGAUUUGCUAAGUUUUCUUCAUUGCUGUCAAUGAUGCAAUUUAAACUGUCAAAAAAAUUUUUUCUCAAGCAGGGUAGUAAUGGUGAACCAUUCCCUUGCUAUUCAGACAGCAUGGUUUAGAUGAGGCGCACCUAUCCCCAGCUUUAGGAAUGGAAACAGGACCCAAGUCUGGCUAAUCAGAGACUGGUUUAGGGUCGGCCCCAUGGUCUGAGCCAGACCAAUGAGAAUUGGUAGAGGGACUUCCUUUUGCAACUUCUAUUUUAGAAUCGGGGGUAUAUAUGCAGGCUUGUUACAGAGGUAUAUUGCAUGGUGCUGAGGUUUGGAGUAUGAACGAAUCCGUCCUUCAGGUAAUGAGCAUAGUACCCAAUAGGUAGUUUCAACCCUUGCCCCCUUCCUCCUUCCCCAGUCUUGUAUUCCCCAGUGUCUGUUGUUCCCAGACAUUGAUCUUUUUCCUCUAUGUUGCUAAGCUGGUAGAAAGGCUGGAGUUGCUGGCAACCAUCUUUGCAACCAUGCAGGGAGAACUACUUUGGAAAUGAAGCAAGAUAAAGAAGAAAACAGAUAAAAGGAGACAAAUGUUUGACUUUGUACAGCUGGAAACCAGCAAUGCUGGAAAUGAGCACUGAAGGCAGUUUAAUGGGUUUGUCACUUGUAACCAAGUGACCCAUGGCAAGCUCACAGAUUUGUAUUGGCAGAAUUCCUCCUUUUCUUUAUUUAAAAUGGUACUUUUGGCCAGGCAAGGUGGUUCACACCUGUAAUCCAAAGACUUUGGGAGGCCGAGGCGCACUGAUCACCCAAGGUCAGAAGUUCGAGAACAGCCUGGCCAACAUUGGCGAAACCCCAUCUCUACUAAAAAUACAAACCAUUAGCUGGCUGCGGUGGCCUUUCUACCAGCUUUUUGUCUCAAAAAAAAAAAAAAAAAAGGUACUUUUGCUUAUCUCUAACCUUCCUCUUCCCCAUAAUUUAACAGUUGCCCAUACUAUCUGUUACUCUGAGCUACUCUCUGCCCCAUUCUCCUCCUCUUAUCUUCAGUUCCUCCUAGGCUGUCAGAGCCAUCUGAAAUGAAAACAUUUAGGCCGGGCAUAGUGGUUCAUGCCUGUAAUCCCAGCACUUUGGGAGGCUGAGGCAGGCGGAUCAGCUGAGGUCAGGAGUUCAAGACCACCCUGGUCAACAUGGUGAAACCCCAUCUCUACUAAAAAUACAAAAAUUAUCCAGACAUGGUGGCACAUGCCUCUACUCCCAGCUACUUGGGAGGCUGAGGCAGGAGAAUCGCUUGAACCUAGGAGGCAGGGGUUGCAGUGAGCCGAGAUUGAGCCACUGCACUCUAGCCUGGGCGACAGAGUGAGACUUUGUCUAAAAAACAUAAAUAAAAUAAAAUGAAAUGAAAACAUUUGCUACUUGAAAUCCUUCAGAUUCCCCAUCGCCUACCUACAGGCAAAACUCUCAAGUUCUUUUGUAUGAUUUAACCACUAUCUACCUGUCCAACUGAAAUCUACCCUUCAGUAAUAUUAUACUUGCACCUCCCUUCAUAAGCUAUGCUACAAGUUUGGUUAUGCAGUUGCCCACCUUUUAAGGUUCAAGCCUUGUCUUCUCCAAAGAGCCACCUCUGACUGCCUCACAGUAAGCUUAGGGCCCGCAACUUACCUGUAACUUUUGUUGCACUUAUGGCCUUUUACAACUAUCAAUUUAUGUAUGUGUCUGUUCUCACUGGUUUAUAAGCUCCCUGAGGACAGAGCCUUGCUUGAGUCAUCUGUCAGCAGCCCAAUAUGGGACAAAAAGUGCAUGCAUUGUAAUUACUGAACAGAACUGAUAGAGGCUCAGCAAUUUGCGCUCCAUAGGUCUAAGUUUGAACUUUUCUAGAAAAGGAUUUGCAGGACGAUCUGACGAAUCUUGGGCUUCCAAAUUAGUUCCAACAGUUCUAGUAUUUUUUUUUUUUUUUGACAGAAGCAAAUAAGUAAGUUUUACUUUGUGAUUAAAACAAAAGUGAAAUGCAUUUAGUCCCAGGAAAUGUCAAUCCUUUCUGCAUCUUACUUUUUUUUGCUGUGACCUCGAGAUUCUCUUGUUCUCUUCAGUUGUAUUGGUCCAUGAUCACUCAUAGCUUUCAUACACAUAUAUACAUCUGAAACUCAGAAAAUUCAUUAGGUAGGAACUCUUUGGAUGCAUCUCCUUUUUUAACCUCAUUGGGAUGAUUUUUCGUUGCACCAUCAUUUUAUAGAGCUUCCUAGCACUGCUGAGCAUGCAGAAUUUUUGCAAAUGCAAUCCAGAGAAACAGACUUGCUAUAUACUAGCUAUUUGAACUUGUCUGAGCUUAUGUGGCAUGGUCUAAAGAAUACUGAAAUAUUUCUGGCAUACCUCUUAAUUGCAGUCACUUUCUCCAGGUUGCUUUAUGGAUUAAAUGAGAUAACCUACUAAAGGACUCCAGUAAAAAGCUAAAAAGGUAGCUAGCUUUUGAGGUGUUGUGGCAGACUGGCAUCUAGUGGCCAGCGAUAAAGGUGCAGACUAGUGUCCACACCUAAGUGGGGACAGUGCAGGCUGUAAUGUCCAUACCUAGUGGGGACAUCAAUGGGGUAUUUGUCAGAGAAGCUCCAUGGCAUAGUUUGGACAUUGUUUCUGGCUGUGCAGGUUCAAACCCAGAGUCUGGCUCUCCCAAAGAUUAUCUGAGUUAUUCUAUUAUUUUACAAAGUUUGAAAUAGCCAUUAGAUACCCUUACAAACUUAUCAUUUUUGUGAUUGAUUUUAAGUCUACUGAAAAUGUCAAAAGAAAUCCAAAACUGAUUGCUAGUAACUAGGCCAGGUGUGGUGGCUCACACCUGUAAUCCCAGCACUUUGGGGCCGGGGCAGGCAGAUUGCUUGAGCUCAGGAGUUCGAGACCAGCCUGGGCAACAUGGCAAAACUCCAUAUUUACAAAAAAUACAAAAAAUUAGCCGGACAUGAUGGUGUGUGCCUGUUGUCCCCGCUACUAGAAGGCUCAGAAAGAAGGAUCACUUGAGCCUGGGAGGCGGAGGUUGCAGUGAGCCAAGACUGUGCCACUGCACUCCAACCUGGGCAACAGAGACCCCAGCUCAAAAAAAUAAAAUUAGUGUUAACUUGUACUGUUUAGCCACAUUCAUUAAGUUUUUAAUUUUAACUCUACUAUCGCACAACCAGGAAUGUACAAGAGAUCUGGAGCCUGAUUUGCAUGGCAGGAAGGAGACCACGUAUUUUUGUUUGGGAUGGGUUUUAGCCACUAUCAGAGACAUAGUUUGUUUCUUAGGGGUUCGGUCCCAGUAGUAUGAUACUUAGUUCAUUUAGGAACUUCCUUUUUUAACGGCUAAGAAAACAUUUUAGCUACUAAAUGAUAUGCAAAGAUAACUUUCCAAAUUUAAGCUGUACUCAAAAAUCCACAGAAUCUGCAAAACUCUCAAGUUUCUAUAUUUAAAUAGAAAUGUGUGUUGAUAUACAUACUUUAAUCAGUCAUUUCUUGCUUUCAAUAUAUUUUAUUCUGACGAAGUUACAAAAGUAGAUACAAAAUACUUUUUUUAGAAGUACAGUUAACUGACUUAGAAAAAUAGAUAAAGCCCCUAAGGAUUUUAAAACACAACAUAAAUUUUUAUGUAAAGAACAUUUAAAAAUAUUUUAGAUGGUAACCAAAACUAACUUACACAAACUAUUUUUGAUGUAGAAUAGAAUGCUGUUCUAUAAUAAGAAGUCUGUAGCACACUGGUAAUCCAUUUGGAUCUACAGAAUACUUGUUUGGAACAGAAUCUGAUAAUGAGAGAAAACUCAAAUGAAUGUCAGUGCAGUUGCUUCAAAAAAAUUACUGCUACCACAUGUACUAUCAUCCCCCAAGGCCUUUUACAGUCUGAAAUAUCAAAAUUGAAAGCAAAAAUAGGAUGACCAAAGGACUACUAUUUUACCUCUUUUCAGAACUCUACAAUAGUAGAAACUAAAUUCCCUUAUGGAUCUCAGGGGGAAAUAAUGUGCCUGUUGAAGGGGCUCAGUGUUUGGUGUCCAGGCUGGCAUUUUUCAGGUGAGGGUUUCAUACUGACAGGAGGCAGGCUCCUAAAACAAGGCGGUAGCACCAGCACCAUGACUAGGGCUGCUUUAAAACAAAUUUCUAGGACUUACGCUCUUUGGGCCUGCUUUGUUACUAAAGUCAUGGUGAAUACAGAUUUUGCAUUUCUCAUGUAAGCAGCUAUAUAAGCUAGGGUUCUACAAGCCUUAGAUGAAAGGAAAAACUUUGCUGGAAGCCCUGUAAAAAUCACUUUAUUCACAAUCUGAAGAAUGAAAGACAAAUUUGGCUGUCAAUACAAAAACUGUAGUACAAGGAAGUUCAACUGUUUAAAAAUCUGCACAUCACUGUACAAGUGUUUUUUGAAGGCCUGAAAAUUAAAGCACCAUAGGAUUAACUGCAUAAUUUAGCAAGCACUCUCUACCCCAUGACUGUAAUCAUGUAUGAAGAGCAGAGAUCAGACACUGAGAGGAGAUGGCUUCUGAUUAGCAAGGGGGAAGGGAGUGAGUGUUAUGGAACAGGCAAACCUUGGGCAUGGGGAGAUAAAAGUGAGAAGAGUCAAAAAGAUUGAUUUCUAUAGGCCGGGCACGGUGGCUCAUGCCUGUAAUCCCAACACUUUGGGAGGCUGAGGCGGGCGGAUUGCGAGGUAAGGAGAUGGAGACCAUCCUGGCUAACACGGUGAAACCCCAUCUCUACUAAAAAUACAAAAAAUUAGCCAGGCAUGACUAAAAAUAGAAAAAAUUAGCUGGGCGUGGUGGCGGGCACCUGUAGUUCCAGCUACUCAGGAGAGGCUGGGGCAGGAGAAUGGCAUGAACCUGGGAGGCAGAGCUUGCAGUGAGCCGAGAUCCCACCACUGUACUCCAGCCUGGGUGACAGAGUGAGACUCUGUCUCAAAAAAAAAAAAAAAAAAGAUUGAUUUCGUCAAACUGUUAUCAAAGGUUGGCCCUCUAGCCAACUCAGGAAGGCGCCAUCCUCUUCCCAUUAUCUCCCCUUCCUCCAAUUCUCCUCCUCCCCUUGGCUCCCUAGCCUUGGAGGUAAACACUAAUAUUUCAGUGCACUGUUGGUUAAGCCAGAUUGGCUUGGGAACCUGGUAAUGUUUUUAUUUUUAUUUUAAAAAAGGACAGUCUUGAGUCUCAAAAUACCAACACAUCUCUGAUUUAUGUCCCAUUUAUAAGCUGCCUUUACUACUGUCCUGACAUGUGAUCGUCUUUCAUUUGCUUUGGAGCUUAGUGGUGAAGAGAGGGAACAUUUCCAUAACUGAAAAUAAAUGGAGAAAAGUGGUAACUCUUUUGUUUGAGAAUAUUUGAAAUACAGAAUGGCUGACAUUUGGACCUUUGGAUAAGCUUAAAACAUGGAUUGUGGAAUGUCUAAUAGAGGGCUUUUCUCUCUUUUUUUUAAUAAUGACUGUCCCACACUUUAAUUCCUCAAUGAUAUGUGGAUGCUAACUAAAUCAGAUGAAAUGUUUUCUUUAAAAUUCUGUAUAUAUUUAAGAAUUUCUAGGAAAUGAUUAUUUAAAAUGGAGUUUCUAAGUAAUUAUUUUCUUUAUAGUUUAGUGGAGUAAGAAAAAUAAAUCUAAAAAAAAACAUCAAAUCUAACCUUUAUCAAAGCCAUCGAGGAGGUUGGUAAAAUACUUUGCAAAAAUCACAGCUCUGAACCACA